UACGUAGGGACCAAGCGUUGUUCGGAUUUACUGGGCGUAAAGGGCUCGUAGGCGGCCAACUAAGUCAGACGUGAAAUCCCCAGGCUCAACCUGGGAACUGCGUCUGAUACUGGUUGGCUUGAAUCCGGGAGAGGGAUGCAGAAUUCCAGGUGUAGCGGUGAAAUGCGUAGAUAUCUGGAGGAAUACCGGUGGCGAAGGCGGCAUCCUGGACCGGCAUUGACGCUGAGGAGCGAAAGCCAGGGGAGCAAACGGG
rnacentral:rRNA from 1 species